GAUGAACGCUGGCGGCGUGCCUAAUACAUGCAAGUCGAGCGAACAGACGAGGAGCUUGCUCCUUCGACGUUAGCGGCGGACGGGUGAGUAACACGUAGGUAACCUACCUAUAAGACUGGGAUAACUUCGGGAAACCGGAGCUAAUACCGGAUAAUAUUUCGAACCGCAUGGUUCGAUAGUGAAAGAUGGCUUUGCUAUCACUUAUAGAUGGACCCGCGCCGCAUUAGCUAGUUGGUAAGGUAACGGCUUACCAAGGCAACGAUACGUAGCCGACCUGAGAGGGUGAUCGGCCACACUGGAACUGAGACACGGUCCAGACUCCUACGGGAGGCAGCAGUAGGGAAUCUUCCGCAAUGGGCGAAAGCCUGACGGAGCAACGCCGCGUGAGUGAUGAAGGUCUUCGGAUCGUAAAACUCUGUUAUUAGGGAAGAACAAACGUGUAAGUAACUGUGCACGUCUUGACGGUACCUAAUCAGAAAGCCACGGCUAACUACGUG
rnacentral:rRNA from 1 species